rnacentral:rRNA from 1 species
AGUCAUAUGCUUGUCUCAAAGACUAAGCCAUGCAUGUCUAAGUAUAAAUUUUUACUUAAUGAAACUGCAGAUGGCUCAUUAAACCAGAAAUCAUUCAUUUGAUGGUGACUUACUACUUGGAUAUCCGUAGUAAUUCUAGAGCUAAUACAUGCGUCGACUCCUUUACUGGAGGUAUUUAUUAGAUCCGAACCAACCCCCCCGGGGUUUUAUGGUGAAUCAUGAUAACUGUUCGAAUCGCCGGGCUAGACCUGGCGAUAGUUCAUUCAAAUUUCUGCCCUAUCAGCUAUUGACGGUAGUGUAGUGGACUACCGUGGCUUUAACGGGUGACGGAGAAUUAGGGUUCGAUUCCGGAGAGGGGGCCUGAGAAACGGCCACCACAUCCAAGGAAGGCAGCAGGCGCGCAAAUUACCCAAUCCCGACACGGGGAGGUAGUGACAAGAAAUAAGAUGGUUACGUCCUUUGUGGCGGAACUUUUCCGAUGAGUGUAAUGUAAA